CAUCUACUCCCUCCGUCCGGAAAUUCUUGUCAUCAAAAUGAAUAAAAGGGAAUGUAUCUAGAUGUAUUUUAGUUCUAGAUAUAUACAUUCCUUUUUGUUCAUUUUGAUGACAAGUAUUUUCGGACGAAGGGAGUAGUAA
rfam:Triticum aestivum genome assembly, contig: Triticum_aestivum_CS42_TGACv1_scaffold_578969_7BL